AUUGAACGCUGGCGGCAGGCUUAACACAUGCAAGUCGAGCAGAGCGAGGGUGCUUGCACCUUAGCUUAGCGGCGGACGGGUGAGUAAUGCUUAGGAAUCUGCCUAUUAGUGGGGGACAACAUUCCGAAAGGAAUGCUAAUACCGCAUACGCCCUACGGGGGAAAGCAGGGGAUCUUCGGACCUUGCGCUAAUAGAUGAGCCUAAGUCGGAUUAGCUAGGUGGUGGGGUAAAGGCCUACCAAGGCGACGAUCUGUAGCGGGUCUGAGAGGAUGAUCCGCCACACUGGGACUGAGACACGGCCCAGACUCCUACGGGAGGCAGCAGUGGGGAAUAUUGGACAAUGGGCGGAAGCCUGAUCCAGCCAUGCCGCGUGUGUGAAGAAGGCCUUUUGGUUGUAAAGCACUCUAAGCGAGGAGGAGGCUACUUAGAUUAAUACUCUGGGAUAGUGGACGUUACUCGCAGAAUAAGCACCGGCUAACUCUGUGCCAGCAGCCGCCGUAA
rnacentral:rRNA from 1 species